CAAUGUGUAUGAUCUUCAUCUAGUUUCUUGGUUACUCUUUUGUCUUUAUUGCUCUAUUGUUUAUUGACUUACACUUGGUUUAUGGACUUUGAGCUUAAGAUAAGAUAAGAUAAGAUAAGAUAAGAUAAGAUAAGAUAACAUAAGAUAACAUAAGAUAAGAUACGAUUUAUUGAUUCCAAGGGGAAAUUAGAGUGUAGCAUAGAUAAAAGACAAGGCCAAAAUACACAUAAGAAAUAACAUAAGAAGCAAAUAAAGAUAAAGUGAAAUAAAUAUUGAAAUCCAGUAAACAUACUGAUAGCAUGUAAAGCUCAAAUUUCUGACAAUAGAUCAAUUGUAUAUAUUUUAGCUUCCAUUUGUCUAGGUAUGUUUUAAGGUGCAAAGUGAUUUCCUUCUGUUUUUGCAUUUUAAAGAAUACGUCAAGAGUUUGUAUCUCAAUCUGUAGUGGAUCAUGAAUUUUUCAUCACCAUGCUUUGAGACACUGGGGAAAUGAACAAAGCCAAGAAAUGCAAUAGGGAGAUGCCUUCCUGAUUCUCAGGGCACAUUGAAAUACUACAGUUGCCACUACCACAGCUUCUGGAAGUAGAUGGAUAUUGCAGUUCAAAACCUGGUUGACUCUGCCAGUCAAGACUUGGCCAUCGAUGGAUCAUUCAAGAUGAUGACAGUAACCAUAUAUUUUAUUUGACCAUAUACAAAACCUGGCUGAUGUUGUAACUAUGACCACACAGAAUGUAUUAAUCUUGUAUUCAUUUUGAAGUCCAUCAAUGUCCAGUAUGGUGUUACAACUAUGAUUAAUGUACAACUAUUAGUACGAUAUGUUUGGAGUGGUUGUCUUGCACAAAGCCUGGAAUAAUUAUAAAUAGGCAUGGAUCCAGGAUACCUGAGCCAAAAGCAAUAACCCACACAAGGACCAUUGGUAAGCAACAUCUAUGAAUGUAGCUGCUGCUAAGUGCUACUGAGAUUUACAUUUGGUUGGUCUGUCUUCAAGCUUCAUGAUUCAAGGUUAUCUAACAGUAUUAGUACCUUCCUGUAUUCAGGCAAACAAUAAAGCAUCUGUGUUAAGUAAUAAAACAAUGUCCCUUUUGGGUUUGCCUUGGCAUUAAGUCAUAUUAAUUUAGUUUUAAAUCCUGCCCUUGGCGAGAAAAUCUUGAGAUGGCAAUCCAUUAUUAGUGUAUUUGCAAGAUGAGCUCAGGGAAUCACUCGACAUCUAUGUUUUUUCCCAAUGAACAGCAUCAGUGCCAAGUCAGACAGAUGUACAUCUCUGCAGUUCCUUUCCCGUCCUUUAUUGGCACCCAGUGCUGCACUGGCAGUGGGCUUUAGCUGUGGCAUGGCACUCCAGAAGAAUGAGUCACACACUAGCUCUGCUACACACCAAAAAAUCCCAUGCUCCACCACAACAGUGAGCCCAAACUGCAAGGUGAAUAGUUUGGACACUGAUGAAAAGAAACUAUUUUAACUCUGUUUUAAUUACAAACAAGGGAGCUAGAAAAGCACUGAUAGGAGGUGCUCAUUUGCCAUCGUCCAUCUGUGCUCUCAAUUAAGGCCCAAGAAUUUUGCAAUUUGCACAGACAUUACCUUGAAAAGAGAACUAACCCAGUGCACACUGACUGCGUAUCUUUAAUAAUCAUUCUAAUGCUAGCCAUUGGUUUCAUUUUGUUCUGAAUGAGAGAUGAGAGGCAUUAAAAAGAGUUAGUACAAGCUAGUAUCGCAUGCCAUCCUACUAUUUGGUUUCUUGGUUUUUGUUUGUGGAUGCUUAGUGGGUAUGUUAUGGGUUCAUUAUUGCACAACAUUAACCCUCUAUGGUCCCAACUUAUAAUUCACUUAAAGCAUUUUGUUCAUUAAUUACUUAUUUAUUGUAUUAAAAAGCUACAGUUAGGAAAUAGAAAGAGCCAUGUGAUUAUGAGAUUGAGGAAGGUAAAUCUGUAUGCCAGUAUAAUCUUUAGGUUUUAAUAUCACUGUGUGUGUUUUGUUUUGGUAAUACGGUAGACUUAUACAUAUCUCUUGGUUUUGGCAAUCAGUUAUUUAUCAUAUUUUAGUGUAUGUAUUGAAAUUGUGCUUUCUCAGAUAUGAAAAAUAGGCCCCUUUUACCACUGUGUUUGCUCUGGAAUGCUCCACCAAAACUACAGACUUGAUGGUAUCACCAUGCUAAAGUCAUACUGUUCCCAUGGAAACUAGUUAUUGCUACCUGAAACAAAGACGAUCUCCAAAGGCAAAUGUACUGACUUCAACAGGUUUCCUGCAUCUUUGACUAUCAAGACCUCCCUGGAAAGAGAGGAGUAGAAGACAGAUUAAUGGAGUGAUUUUGUCUAAAGUGAAUAUAUGGGCUGUCCUCCCUGAGAUUACCUCUGCACUCAGCAGCUACAGAGGAGCAUACAACCUUGUUUUUCACUGUCGCAACUUGCCCCCUGAGUUCAUGCAUAUAUGUAUAUAUAUUCCCCAGUUAAAAUGUACAGGUUGGCCAAAUUUAUCUAUAAGUUUUUCCUGAAAACAACUAUAGUUGGAUUUUUUCCUGUUUUCAGGAAAAACGUUUAGAUAAGUUUGUGUACUGAAAUACAUGCUUUCCGCACACUAAAAUAAUGAAAAAUAAUAGGGGUGUAAUGCAAUGUCAUUAUCCAUAUCUGUUUAGUGCUCAAAAAACUUGUAUCUUUUUUCAUAUUCAGAUUUUAAUAUUAACCCUACCACUAUGCACUGCUAUAAAACACUGAAACAAUUGGGCGGCUGGAAAAAAGAACACAUUUUCAUGCACAUAUUAUAACAAAUAACAAUUUGCAAAACAUUAAAUUUCUAAACCAGACACCCUGUGGCAAGCUUUCUAUCUUGUAUGUAGUGUGACUUAGUAAGCAGGUUUACUUCAAAACAAUGUCUUUUCCAAAUCGAGAACUUAUUCAGGCUACAGCUGACAACAAUAGCCAUCUAAUAAUAUCUUACCGGAUUUACUUCGGUUUUUAUGUUUGUUACAUUCCAGAAAUAUCAGAAACAUUUGCUGGACACAGUGCCAGAAUCUAUUAUGAAGCUGGGACACACUCUCAGUGUUUUAGCCAGUCGAAAUUGGGGCCUUUCAGCAGCCUUUCAGUAUAAUGCCUUUAUGAUUUUCUGAUUUUUUUUAAGAACAUUUAAGAGCAAUAAUUUAAGAACAACAAAAAACACAGCACAGUGAAUGUAAGAGUUUUAUAAUAUUUUUUAUAAGCUAUAUGGGCAAUGACUCAAAAUAUGAAAGCACAUUUCUUUUGUUUGUACAGAAAUAUGGCAGAAAUAUGGGUUUAUUUUGGAGCUCAGCAAGGCAGUCUUUAGGUUGGGCUAAAACCAAAGAGUGCAUCUCUCAUUUGUAUAAUGUUAAUAAACUCGGUAUAUGAUCCAUGGGCAGGGUUGCCAUUUUCUGUAUAGUGCAGAUACACAGUAUACUGCAAAUAAGAAAUGCACACCACUGUUAACUUGUUCCCUUGAAAACACUGUAAAAAAGGAGAAAAAAUAUGUCUGCAUUUUUCUAGUCCCGAACCUUUUGGGUUAGUUUCAUGUUUUGUGUCUUUUCAUUUAUAUGAGCUUAUAGAAACUAUAAGUGCAUUACCUGUGUGUAAAUGUGUGGAGUUUGAGGUUGUGUGCAUUUUUAAAAUGAUUUUGAAAGUUGUAGUUCAUCUUAAACAGAUUUAAUAAAAAUGCUAAACAUGGUUCGUUUAUUUGUUAACAGUAAAGUAUGGGUAUGCCCCUCCCAGCCACCAUGUCUCUUGAACACUGAACACUACAAGAGUACAUAAAGCCUGUUUGUUUUACAUGUCUUUGUGCAGUAUUGCCAAACCCAGAGUCUGGGAUUUCCUGUGUUCCUGAUUUCGAGCUUUGGAUAAUGUUAAUGAGUCACCUUCUUACAGACACCUUAUUACACCUUGUUUGCCAGACAACAGGGAUUUUAUGUGAUCUGCUGUUACUGCUCAAACUUUGUUGCUAGGCACCCAUGAGCAGCAAGUCCAGCAAAUGAUAUAAGCUAUGGAGGAAUUGGUCCUGGUCUACUGAGAUCCCACGUCACAGGCUGCUGCUAACCCUCAAUUCAUGAGCCAUCAACCAACCUUUCUUCCAUCUCUGCAUAACCACACCUUCAAAGCAGUGAUACUGUGAAGAACGCUCGGUGCUAGGGCCAUUAUCAAUUAAUGUGCCCUUUGGACAAGUGUCAAGACAGUCUCAGCUGCAUUUCUGAGCAAGAACAGUAGCAUUAGCUACACCCUCUUGUUUGCAUGAAAAAAUACUUUAAUUGUAAAUAUGUUGAUUUUAUAUUUGACAUUUUUUUGUGUGUUUCCUUGACGUCAUGCAUACUCUCUUUCAACUGCAUCUAAAAAUCCUGAAUUUCAAAAUGUCCUCUGUAAAUCUCAUACAGUUACACCCGCUUGCCUUCUAAAACUAGGAAAUGUCUGAUGUAUAGAAUGUAAAGAAUAAAUAAUAUAAAAAAUUUUAUGCAUAAAAAUUGCAAAUAAAUAAAUAAAUA